UAGUCUGGGAAACUGCCUGAUGGAGGGGGAUAACUACUGGAAACGGUAGCUAAUACCGCAUAAUGUCGCAAGACCAAAGUGGGGGACCUUCGGGCCUCAUGCCAUCAGAUGUGCCCAGAUGGGAUUAGCUAGUAGGUGGGGUAAUGGCUCACCUAGGCGACGAUCCCUAGCUGGUCUGAGAGGAUGGCCAGCCACACUGGAACUGAGACACGGUCCAG
rnacentral:rRNA from 1 species